GAUGAAGAACGUAGCGAAAUGCGAUAAGUAAUGUGAAUUGCAGAAUUCAGUGAAUCAUCGAAUCUUUGAACGCACAUUGCGCCCCCUGGUAUUCCGGGGGGCAUGCCUGUCCGAGCGUCAUUACAACCCUCAAGCUCAGCUUGGUGUUGGCCCCCGCCGCCCCGGCGGGCCCUAAAGUCAGUGGCGGUGCCGUCCGGCUCCGAGCGUAGUAAUUCUUCUCGCUCUGGAGGUCCGGUCGUGUGCUCGCCAGCAACCCCCAAUUUUUUUCAGGUUGACCUCGGAUCAGGUAGGGAUACCCGCUGAACUUAAGCAUAUCAAUAAGCGGAGGA
rnacentral:misc_RNA from 1 species